UACGUAGGGGCCAAGCGUUGUUCGGAUUUAUUGGGCGUAAAGGGUGCGUAGGCGGCGGAGUAAGUUGGGUGUGAAAUCCCGGGGCUUAACCUCGGAAUUGCAUUCAAUACUGCUUCGCUUGAGUACUGGAGAGGAGGCUGGAAUUUACGGUGUAGCAGUGAAAUGCGUAGAUAUCGUAAGGAAGGCCGGUGGCGAAAGCGAGCCUCUGGACAGUUACUGACGCUGAUGCACGAAGGCCAGGGGAGCAAACGGG
rnacentral:rRNA from 1 species